rnacentral:lncRNA from 1 species
GCUGGUACCUCAUUGAGCUGCAUUAAUCUUAACUAUAAGCCUAACAAAAGCCUGUUUAAUAAAGAGUGUGUGAGAAGAGAAGCAGGGUGCCUCCAUCUCCAGGCUACUGCGUACAAAGCGUGCCUCUGCCGACAGCUCAAUGCAGGGAGCUGCUUGGCACUUCACACGGCUCUGUGCCGGCCAUCGUGCUCCCUGGCCUCUCUUCAGCCAUUUCAUCUGCCCCAUGGAAAGGGUGUAAGUUUUCCUCCCAACCACAGGGUUGGUCAGAGAUUGCAUCCUGGACCUGAACUCCCUGCUCAAAGCUUCACCUCAACCACUCCAUGGCAUGAAGUUUAUUGUCCACUCUUGACACCUGAGCAAGGUGGGUUGACUGAGCAUCUAGAAACUGUUUUUUGA